UACGUAGGGUGCAAGCGUUGUCCGGAAUUAUUGGGCGUAAAGGGCUCGUAGGCGGUCUGUCACGUCGGGAGUGAAAACUCGGGGCUUAACCCCGGGCCUGCAGUGGGUACGGGCUGACUAGAGUGCGGUAGGGGAGACUGGAAUUCCUGGUGUAGCGGUGAAAUGCGCAGAUAUCAGGAGGAACACCGGUGGCGAAGGCGGGUCUCUGGGCCGUAACUGACGCUCAUGCACGAAAGCGUGGGGAGCAAACAGG
rnacentral:rRNA from 1 species